rnacentral:rRNA from 1 species
GAGGUUAAGGGGGACGACCCCCGGAGCCGCAGCGAAGGCGAGUCUGAACAGGGCGUUCAGUUCGUCGGACUAGACCCGAAACCGAGUGAUCUAGCCAUGGCCAGGUUGAAGGUGCGGUAACACGCACUGGAGGACCGAACCCACGCCUGUUGAAAAAGUCGGGGAUGAGCUGUGGCUAGGGGUGAAAGGCCAAUCAAACUCGGAAAUAGCUGGUUCUCCGCGAAAUCUAUUUAGGUAGAGCGUCUCAUGAAUACCAUCGGGGGUAGAGCACUGGAUGGGCUAGGGGGUCCCACCGACUUACCAAACCUAACCAAACUCCGAAUACCGAUGAGUACUAUGAGGCAGACACACUGCGGGUGCUAAGGUCCGUAGUGGAAAGGGAAACAGCCCUGACCGACAGCUAAGGUCCCUAAAUUAUGGCUAAGUUGGAAAGGAUGUAGGAAUCCCAAAACAACCAGGAAGUUGGCUUAGAAGCAGCCAUCCUUCAA